UACGAAGGGGGCUAGCGUUACUCGGAUUGACUGGGCGUAAAGGGUGCGUAGGCGGCCAUGUAAGUGAGGUGUGAAAUCCCUCGGCUCAACCGAGGAACUGCGCUUCAUACUGCAUGGCUUGAGGGAGACAGGGGUAAGCGGAACUGAUGGUGGAGCGGUGAAAUGCGUUGAUAUCAUCAGGAACACCGGUGGCGAAAGCGGCUUACUGGGUCUCUUCUGACGCUGAGGUACGAAAGCUAGGGUAGCGAACGGG
rnacentral:rRNA from 1 species